rnacentral:rRNA from 1 species
AUUGAACGCUGGCGGCAGGCUUAACACAUGCAAGUCGAGCGGGGUGAUGGUGCUUGCACUAUCACUUAGCGGCGGACGGGUGAGUAAUGCUUAGGAAUCUGCCUAUUAGUGGGGGACAACAUCUCGAAAGGGAUGCUAAUACCGCAUACGUCCUACGGGAGAAAGCAGGGGAUCACUUGUGACCUUGCGCUAAUAGAUGAGCCUAAAUCGGAUUAGCUAGUUGGUGGGGUAAAGGCCUACCAAGGCGACGAUCUGUAGCGGGUCUGAGAGGAUGAUCCGCCACACUGGGACUGAGACACGGCCCAGACUCCUACGGGAGGCAGCAGUGGGGAAUAUUGGACAGUGGGGGGAACCCUGAUCCAGCCAUGCCGCGUGUGUGAAGAAGGCCUUAUGGUUGUAAAGCACUUUAAGCGAGGAGGAGGCUCUUUUGGUUAAUACCCAAGAUGAGUGGACGUUACUCGCAGAAUAAGCACCGGCUAACUCUGUGCCAGCCGCCGCAGUAA